CGGGGUACACGAGCGGCGAACGGGUGAGUAACACGUGGGUGAUCUGCCCUGCACUCUGGGAUAAGCUUGGGAAACUGGGUCUAAUACCGGAUAUGACRYCAMSCCGCAUGMUMUGUGGUGGAAAGAUUUAUCGGUGCAGGAUGGGCCCGCGGCCUAUCAGCUUGUUGGUGGGGUAAUGGCCUACCAAGGCGACGACGGGUAGCCGACCUGAGAGGGUGACCGGCCACACUGGGACUGAGACACGGCCCAGACUCUACGGGAGGCAGCAGUGGGGAAUAUUGCACAAUGGGCGGAAGCCUGAUGCAGCGACGCCGCGUGAGGGAUGAAGGCUUCGGGUUGUAAACCUCUUUCAGCAGGGACGAAGCGUGAGUGACGGUACCUGCAGAAGAAGCACCGGCUAACUACGUGCCAGCAGCCGCGGUAAUACGUAGGGUGCGAGCGUUGUCCGGAAUUACUGGGCGUAAAGAGUUCGUAGGCGGUUUGUCGCGUCGUUUGUGAAAACCCGGGGCUCAACUUCGGGCUUGCAGGCGAUACGGGCAGACUUGAGUGUUUCAGGGGAGACUGGAAUUCCUGGUGUAGCGGUGAAAUGCGCAGAUAUCAGGAGGAACACCGGUGGCGAAGGCGGGUCUCUGGGAAACAACUGACGCUGAGGAACGAAAGCGUGGGUAGCAAACAGGAUUAGAUACCCUGGUAGUCCACGCCGUAAACGGUGGGCGCUAGGUGUGGGUUCCUUCCACGGGAUCUGUGCCG
rnacentral:rRNA from 1 species